rnacentral:rRNA from 1 species
GAUCAUGGCUCAGGACGAACGCUGGCGGCGUGCUUAACACAUGCAAGUCGAACGAAGAGGCUUGGAAGCUUGCUUCUGAGAAUCUUAGUGGCGAACGGGUGAGUAACGCGUAAUCAACCUGCCCUUCAGAGGGGGACAACAGUUGGAAACGACUGCUAAUACCGCAUACGAUCCAAUCUCGGCAUCGAGGAUGGAUGAAAGGUGGCCUCUAUUUAUAAGCUAUCACUGAAGGG